AAAAGAAAAAGAAAAACAAAACAAAACAAAAAUAAAUAAAUAUCGCAUACUCUUCAUUCAUAUUCACCCAUUGAUGGAGACUUAAGUUGCUUCCAUAUCUUGGCUAUUUUUAGUAAUUUUGCAAUAAAAAUUGGGGUGCAUAUAUCUUUUCGAGUUAGUGUUUUUAUUUUCUUCAGAUAAAUGCCCAGAAGUGGAAUUGCUGAAUCAUAUGUUCUUUCUGUUUUUAAUUUUUUUUGAGGAACUUCUGUGCUGCUUUCCAUAGUGGCUGCACCAAUUUACAUUCCAGCCAACGGUGCACAGGUGUUCCUUUUUCUUCAUGUCCUCGCCAACAUUUCUUACUUUUUGUCUUUUUGAUAAUAACCAUUCUGACAGGUAUGAGGUGAUAUCUGACCGUGGUUUUGAUUUUCAUUUCUCUGAUGGUAACUGAUGCAUCCUUUCAUGUACCCGUUGGCCAUCUGUGUGUCGUCUUUGGGAAAAGAUGUCUAUUCAGAACUUUUGAAAUGCCUGUUCAGAUUUUGCUUUUCAAUUCUUCAGUGCUUACUGUAAAGAAAUAUGAUUUAUUUUAAUGUAUUGACUUUGAGUCCUACAACCAUGUUGAACUCUACUUAUUAAACCUAGGAGCUUUUAGAUGACGCCUUGAAAUUUUCAACACAGGCAGUGAUGUAGCCUGUAAGUAGAGACAACUUUCCUUCUUUCAAUCUGUAUGUAUUUUAUUUCUUUUAUUGUACCUUAUUUCAGUGCCCAGGGCUUUUAUACAAUAUUGGAUAGGAAUGGUGAAAGUGGAUAUCCUCCGUCUCCAUUUUAAGGGGAAAGCAUUAAUCUUUGAUCCUUAAUUAUGAGGUGAGCUGCACGUUUUUAAUAGAGCUUCUUAACAGGUUUAUUUCUAGUAUGCUAAGAGUUUUACUGUGAAUUAAUAUUGAAUUUCAUCAAACAGUUUUCUGUCUCCAUUGGCAUGAUUAAUGUCAUUUUCUUCUUUAGUCUGUUGAUAUGAUGGAUUACACUGAUGUAUUUUCUCACGAUGAACCAGCUUUGCAAUUCUGAGAUAAAACCUGCUUUGUCUUAGUCUAUGUUUCGUUUCGUUUCUUUUCUCCUUCCUUCCUUCCUUCCUUCCUCCCUUUCUUUCUUUCUUUCUUUCUUUCUUUCUUUCUUUCUUUCUUUCUUUCUUUUUUCUCUCUUUCUCUCUUUCUCUCUUUCUUUCUUUUUUCCCCUGCAGCAUAUGGAAGUUCCCAGGCUAGGAGUUCAAUCAGAGAUGCAACUGCUUGCCUACAGCACAGACACAGCAAUGCAGGAUUCAAGUCUCAUCUGCGACCUACCUCCACCACAGCUCAUGGCAACGCCAGAUCCUUAAUCCACUGAGUGAGGCCAGGGACCGAACCUGCACCUUCCUGGAUACUGGUCUGAUUUGUUUCCACUGAGCUGCAACGGGAACUCCCUAUGUUUCUUCUUAUAUAUUGUUGGAUGUGACUUCUAAUAUUUCAUUGAGGACUUUUGUAUCUAUGUUUAUGAAGGAUAUUGGUCUGUAGUUUUUGUUUCUUAUAUUGUCCUGUCUGGUUUUGUUAUCAGAGCACUGUGGGCUUCACAAAAUGAGUGGUAUUCCUUCCUUUUCUUUUUUUUGGGAAGAGAUUGUGUGGAAUUGGCAUUAUUAUUAUUUUCUUCCCUGAUGGGUACAUUUCAACAGUGAGACCAUCUGGGCCUGGGGUUUUCUUUGCUAGAAGUGUCAAAUUAUGAAUUAAAGUUUUUAAAUAGGUUUAGAACUAUUCACACUAUCCUUCUUUUCUAGUGAGUUUGGUAAUAUGCCUUUAAGUUGGUCGACAUCAUCUAAGGUGUUGAAUUUAUGGCCAUAAAGUCAUUCUUAGCAUCCCCCUAUAAUUACUGUAAUAUUUGUAGAGUCUGUAGUGAUAUUUUCAGAUAUUGAUAUGGACUAAAAUCUAGCAGUUUUACUGAUAUUGUCAAAAAAGCCACUUUAGUUUCUUUUUUUAAUGUUUUCUAGUUUUACUUUUCUUUUUCUGUUUAUUUUUUUAUUAUUUGCUUCCUUCUACUUGCUUAAUCUCCACAUAUUCUUCUUUUUCUAGUGUCUUAGGCCAGAAACUUGGAUUAUCCAUCUGGAAGCGUUGUUCUUUUCUAACAGAAGGAUUAAAUGCUGUGAAUUUUCUUCUAGCAUCCUUUUAGAUGCAUCCUAUAAUUUUUUAAUGUCAUGUAGGUGUAUUUUUGUUCAAUUCAGAGUAUUUUCUAGAGGGUCCCAGUCUUUUUCAUCGAUGGUUGUUCUUAAGACACUUGUGAUUUUAGUGUGCUCCUGAGAUGACGGGAACUCAAGGUGUCUCUAUUCCACCGUCUUUGCCUCCCAUAAAAGGAAUCCAAUUCCGAAUAUUUUCUGUUUUCCUUGAGGCUUACUCUUUGACUCAUUGAUUAUUUGGAAGUGUAUUUUUAACUUUCAAAUAGUUGGAGAUUUUUCAUACAUCUUUCUGUUACUGAUUUCUGGCUCAGUUUUGUUAGGAUCAGAGAAUAAUAUCUUGUGUUAUUUCCGUUUUUUGUUUUUAUGAACCAGCAUAUGGUCUAUCUCACUGAAUAUUCCCUGUGUACUUGAAAAGAACAUGUAUUAUGCUGUUGUUAAGGGGAGUGCUUUGUGAAUGUUAAUUAGGUCAAGUUGAUUGAUUGUGUUGUUCAGAACUUGGAUAUCCUUGUUGAUUUUCUUUCUUCUUGAUCUUUUGAUUCCCAAGAGGUAUGUGUUGAGGUCUCCAAGUAUAAUUAUGAAUUUGUCUACUUCUCCUUUUCGUUGCAUUCAUUUUUGCUUCAUGUAUUUUGAAUGUAUUAUUAGGUGUAGCUACGCUUACAAUUUUUAGAUUUUCUUGAUGGUCUGACCCUUGUUUGUCAUUUUGUAAUACCCCUCUUUACCUCCGGUGGCUUUUUCUAUUUGGAACUCUGCUUUAUCCUAUCCCUAUGUAGCCCAUCCUGUGACCAACUUGGGGACAAAGGGGAAGGGGGAAGGAAGAAGGACUCCAUUUUCCAGUUCCUCUGCUCAUCGAGGAAUACCUCCUUUCCAAUCGUCUAAAAAUCUGCACAGGAAUAUGGCCUCAUGCCUGAGGCUUGUCUGGGGCCAGCACAAGAGAAUAAAAAACAGUAAAUUAAACUGGUCCCCCCCCCCCGCCCAACCCCGAGAUCCAUCCACAGAGGACCUUUCCUGGUUUUCUGGCCAUGAAGAGAGAAGAUGAGAAUUUCUCUUGACACGUCUGCUGCACAGUCUUGGGGUACAUGCUUUUGUGGAGUGUGAGCUGGGCGGUAGGGAAAAACACAGGAAGAUCUGGAGCAUGUUGGCCACACUCCUAGUUCUAUCAUUUACUUUUAGUGUUAUCAGAUAGGGGCCUUAUGCGUGCUGCCCAGUGUUUUCAAUUGCGAUCAGAGAGAAAGCAUGGAAUGAACUUACUCCAUCACAGCUGGAACCUUCACCUCCUAAACCACAUUUUCCUCUACACCGAACAACUCGGAAGACUCCCCCUACCUUGCCUUCUCUGUCAUUCUGGUGGAAGAUACCUCCUUAACCAGUUCUAUGAUUAUACCUGGAGUUCCACAUGACAUGCUACUUUUAUUUAUUUUUAAUUUAAUUUAUUUUAUUUUUUUUAGGACUGCACCUGUGGCAUAUGGAAGUUCCUGGGCUAGGUCUCACAUUGGAGGUGAACUGCCAGCCUAUGCCGCAUCCACAGUGUCGUGGGACACGAGCCACAUCUGUGACCUAUAUACACCACAGGUCAUGGCAGUGCUGGGUCUUUAACUCACUGAGCAAGGCCAGGGAUCAAACCUGCAUCCUCAUGGAUACUAUUUAGGUUUGUUUCCUUUGAACUCCUUUGAGCCACAAUGGAAAUUCCAGCCACAACAGGAACUCCUCAUGCUCCUUUUAACACAUGUAACUGAGGCAAGUGUAAACAGCCAACUAUUUUCAUACAAUUAUGCCUUUAUUCUAAUCAGUUUAAUAGGUAAUCACUGGAAUAGAUCAUAACUAAGAGAUAACAGGGACAAAAAUGGAUAAAUGUAUUUCCUUGAUGGAAACAGAAAAGAGACUGGUUUUACAAUCACCGUGUCUUUGUAGAGCGUGAAAAUAUAUGUCCCUCAACAAGUGAAGGGUGAAUAAGAGCUCUGGUUACCUGGGGCAUCUAAAUUAGCAAGUAUUAGAUUUUAUUGGUAAGUACUGUUUUGGUUGUGAUCACAGAAAUCCAAAUGUAUUUGACUAAAAUUAAGAAAUAAAUGUUUUUUAAAAAUCCAAGAGCAAUAUGGCUUCAUAAAUGACUGCAUUCAUUUACUCAAAUUAUGUAACCAAGAACCUGUCUUCCUCCUUUGCACGACUUGUAUAGAUUUUUGUUGGUUUCAUUCUUGGUUGGAUUCUUCCGUGAUGUGGCUAGGAACUAGUAACCAGGUCACCAGUAACUUCAGACUUAUAAUUUUUUUUUUUUUUUUGUCUUUUUGCCAUUUCUAGGGCCACUCCUACAGCACAUGGAGGUUCCCAGGCUAGGGGUCUAAUCAGAGCUGUAGCCACCGGCCUACACCAGGGCCACAGCAAUGCGGGAUCCGAGCUGCAUCUGCAACCCACACCACAGCUCAUGGCAAUGCCGGCUCCCCAACCCACUGAGCAAGGCCAGGGAUCAAACCCGCAACCCCAUGGUCCCUAGUCGGAUUUGUUAACCGCUGAGCCACGAUGGGAACUCCCAGACUUAUAAUUUUUCCUCAAAGUAACUCUAUCAAAUAGACCAUCUUUUUCAAAAUUGUAAUUGGAAGUUGGAGGUUCUCACUGAACUGGCCUGGAAUGGGCUUUAUUCCUGUCUCUGAAGCAGUGACUAUUAUACUGAUUGUCCAGGACUAGAAAGUAGGCUUGAUCCUUGAUAGAAUGUGGACUACAGGUAAGGAAAGAGCAAAUACCCCAGGAAUUUUGAGGUCCUGUGAACAUAAGAAGAAGGCAUUGAUUCUGAAGAGGCAGAACAAGAGCGAUCUACUCUGUAGGCAAUGUUGACAGAAGGAUGGAGAGCUAUGAAAAGAAACCUUUCCUACCUCCCAGUGUGGCAUAGAAGCCUGUUUUGUGUGAGCAGGAAAGCUCAAAGCCCGGUUUUCUAAAACUCUAACAUUAACAAUUCUCUUGAAUUGAGGGGAGUAAGUGAAUUAUGCUGAGUUUUUGUAGUCAUCGAUUUUAGCAAAGACAUGUAUAGUAUAUGCCGUUCUCCGGUAACGUUGAAAGGCAUAUACAAAAGACAGACUGUGCUUCUCUCUCUCUUUUUUUUAACUAAUAGCUACCUGCUAUAUUUUGUUCCCUAUAAAAAAUAAGAAACAGAUUUCAAAUUAAAAAAGAUUUCAAGUUAGAAAAAUAUAAUAGAUAUACUUUUUAGUGUCAACAUCUUUACAGCUAAUGGAAAAAAUCGCUAAAAAUUAAAAGCUGAACACUGGUUGAAGACUUUGGAGAAGGAAGACUGUAGGCACUUCUGAAGUUAUGAAUGUACCUCUCUCCUCUUCCACAGCUCUCACUAUAAACUGGUGUGCUCAGGAUUCAGGGCUGAGUGUCACUCAUGGCCAGAAUUCCUGAGGAAUCAUCUGAAAUACAUCAUCAUAGAAGCACCUGACAUAAACCACCACUGUUCAGUGGCCAGUGGAGGCAUGGAGCUGAGGGGCUUGUGGACAGAAUUGCUUCAUAAAAGAUCAUCUCUAACCAGCAGAGGGAAAUUUGAUUGUAGGAUUGUGUGAAGAAUGUUUCCAUGCGCAGUUCAUGUGUGAUGGUGGCUGCAGCUAUAUCACAAAAGAAGAGUUUCCUGAAAAGCUAGAAAGAGAUCAGAGAUGUAGACAAGCCUUUAGGCUAUUGCAAAUGCCCUUGAGAAAAUCUGAGCGCCUAAAAUUAGUCUUUGGCAUCUUUGGGAUAAGAAGAAAAAGAAAGGAAACAAAUGCUUUAACAUUUUAUUCAAGGUCUGACAGGUAGAGUAGUUGUCGUAGCCUUCUUUACCUGAAUGCAUUUCAGAGUGGAACUUUUGCUCAGAACUUUCUUAGUGUUCUCUCCUUCCCCUCUUGUCUCCUGUCUUUCCCCCAUCUCUGGCUUCUGUAGAAUCAAGGGGGCUGAAUAUACUUUGCACCCUCCAAAUACAUACUUUGAAACUCAGCAAUGUUUUGUUUUUCUUGGCAUAGCACAAGGAAACCAUGAACUUUUCACUGGGGUUUAACUCAAAACACUUGCAUGAUGUAUAUGUUCUCAUGUGCUACCAGGAGGCCCACAAACAUGACACUAUGGAGUAUGAAAGAAGCAUUUAUGUAGUUCCUGUCAUGGCACAGCAGAAACGAAUCCGACUAGGAACCAUGAAGUUGUAGGUUCGAUCCCUUGCCUCGCUCAGUGGGUGAAGGGUCUGGGGUUGUGUGAGCUGCGGUGUAGGUUGCAGACACAGCUUGGAUCCUGCGUUGCUGCGGCUGUGGUAUAGGCCAGAAGCUCUGAUUUGACCCCUAGCUGGGGAAUAUCCAUAUGCCACAAGUGCAGCCUUACAAAGCAAAAAAAAAAAAAAAAAAAAAAAAAAA
rnacentral:lncRNA from 1 species